rnacentral:tRNA from 1 species
GGGGCGGUGGCGAAAAGGCAGACGCAGCGGACUUAAAAUCCGCCGGGGGAAACUCCGUGUGGGUUCGAAUCCCACCCGCCCUA